AUUGAACGCUGGCGGCAGGCCUAACACAUGCAAGUCGAGCGGCUGAAGGGUGCUUGCUCGUGGAUUCAGCGGCCGACGGGUGGGUGAUGCCUAGGAAUAUCCCUGUUAGUGUUGGCGAAGGUCCGGAAGCGGGGGCAAAUACCGCGUUACUCCUGAGGAAGAAAGGGGGGGAGCUUGGGAUCUUCCGCUAUCAGAUGAUCCUAGGUCGGAUUAGCUAGUUGGUGGGGUAAAGGCCUACCAAGGCGACGAGCCGUAGCUGGUCUGAGAGGAUGAGCCGCCACACUGGAACUGAGACACGGUCCAGACUCCUACGGGAGGCAGCAGUGGGGAAUAUUGGACAAUGGGCGCAAGCCUGAUCCAGCCAUACCGCGUGGGUGAAGAAGGCCUUCGGGUUGUAAAGCCCUUUUGUUGGGAAAGAAAAGCAGCAGGUUAAUACCCCGCUGUUCUGACGGUACCCAAAGAAUAAGCACCGGCUAACUUCGUG
rnacentral:rRNA from 1 species